rnacentral:tRNA from 1 species
AUUUAUGUAGUUUAAUUAAAACACUAUAUUUUCAUUAUAGAAAUAACUUACCAUUCAUAAAUA